CGUGUGCCCCUCUAUACGCCGUGCAGUCUAUGUUCAGUUAGGUGUCAUGGCGUCUUCCCAUGUUGUAGUUGACCUGUCGUUUACUUAAUUCUAUUUGUGCUUCGAUAUUUAAGUUGUCUAUUCUUGUUGUUUACAUUAUAGAAUUUUAAUAUUAGUAAAGUAUAUUUGGAUUUUAUUUGGUUGAACGAUCACACUCCCGAUGAGAGAAGAAAUGUAUCUCGCCCGUUACAUUAUAAAUGCUAUUUUCCUAAGCAUGCUAUCAUCUAAUAUGGACGACGGUAUACUAUUAACUGUAAAUUUGCACCGGACCAUGGGAUAAAUCAUCUAGUUACGCUCCCCAAGGGUAAGCAUGUUUACAUUAUUUUGUUUAUUUGUAUCAUUUACUUGUACGCUUGUAAGUACCAUCGUGUUUCAACCACCCCUUGUUGUCGCACAAUUUGUUAUUUGGUUCCUUUAUCGGUUGUGGGUGGUGUUAUUCAUUGUUAAAUUAUAAUUAUUUAUAAAUGUACUUACAAGGAUUGAAUAAUAUAUAAAAUGAUAGAAAUAAAUAAUAAUUGAUAUAUUUAUUAUAAAUGUAUAUACAUAUAUAUAUAUUAAUAAAUAAGUUGUAGAAAGCAUGUAUAGGGAAAUAUGAUUGGUAAUUUGUAGCAUAUGAAUUGCUCCAUUUAUGUAAGUAAUUAGUUAGUAUUUUAUUAUUAUUGAUUUAUUUAUCAGUGAUUAUUA